UACCCUGGUAGUCCACACAGUAAACGAUGAAUACUCGCUGUUUGCGAUAUACAGUAAGCGGCCAAGCGAAAGCAUUAAGUAUUCCACCUGGGGAGUACGCCGGCAACGGUGAAACUCAAAGGAAUUGACGGGGGCCCGCACAAGCGGAGGAACAUGUGGUUUAAUUCGAUGAUACGCGAGGAACCUUACCCGGGCUUAAAUUGCACCUGAAUAACGUGGAAACAUGUUAGCCGCAAGGCAGGUGUGAAGGUGCUGCAUGGUUGUCGUCAGCUCGUGCCGUGAGGUGUCGGCUUAAGUGCCAUAACGAGCGCAACCCUUAUCUUUAGUUACUAACAGGUCAUGCUGAGGACUCUAGAGAGACUGCCGUCGUAAGAUGUG
rnacentral:rRNA from 1 species